rnacentral:rRNA from 1 species
UACGGGGGGGGCAAGCGUUGUUCGGAAUUACUGGGCGUAAAGGGCUCGUAGGUGGCCGACUAAGUCAGACGUGAAAUCCCUCGGCUUAACCGGGGAACUGCAUCUGAUACUGGAUGGCUUGAGUUCGGGAGAGGGAUGCGGAAUUCCAGGUGUAGCGGUGAAAUGCGUAGAUAUCUGGAGGAACACCGGUGGCGAAGGCGGCAUCCUGGACCGACACUGACGCUGAGGAGCGAAAGCCAGGGGAGCAAACGGG